rnacentral:rRNA from 1 species
GAUGAACGCUAGCGACAGGCUUAACACAUGCAAGUCGAGGGGCAGCAAGAAUUGUAGCAAUAAAGAAGAUGGCGACCGGCGCACGGGUGAGUAACACGUAUCCAAUCUGCCUUUUACUCGGGGAUAGCCUUUCGAAAGAAAGAUUAAUACCCGAUGGUAUAUGAUUACUGCAUGGUAAUUAUAUUAAAGAAUUUCGGUAAAAGAUGAGGAUGCGUUCCAUUAGAUAGUUGGUAGGGUAACGGCUUACCAAGUCUACGAUGGAUAGGGGUUCUG